ensembl:lncRNA
CAAUAAAAAAAAAAACCCAAGUGAACUUUAAAAAGUUCUUUCUUUCAUUCAUCAGAAGUUCUCUCACUUCAGAUGCAGAGAAGAAAUUUACUCCUGUAGCUAUAGUUUCAUUUUAUAGUUAAGAUUCAAUGAUUUCUAAAACCUGACCUAGUUUCCUGUUGCAAAGAACUAAUACUUAAAAAUUUUAAGUGCCAGUAUACAAAUUGGCCCCUUCACAGGUUUAGCCCACCAGGGGACAUGGCUUCCUGUGUUCUUUGGGAGAGACCUCAGAGAGUCAAUUGUCAAUGAGUCUGUUGGACCCAAAAAGUCAAUUCAGAUCUAGUACAAUUUUGCUAGGUUGUCCCCAUUCAACCGUUGAGCGCCUGAAGCUCAAUAUGCACAGAAUAGGAGAAGUCCUUUGAGGGCCCACCAAGAACUGCCGGCUAUUUGGAAGUAUCUAGUACCUGGCUCCAAAAGGAUUGAGUGUUUAUUUCAUCUCGGUUCACAUUCCUACCCCAAGGGGUGGAGGAGAGAGUUUUCCACCUAAGACUGUGACCUAGAGUCAUGUUUCUUUGCUUUCCUAAACCAUACCCACUUCACUGACUAUCUUCCUGCGGCACACACUUGACCAAACUGCACGACUUUUAAUACAGUGCAAGGAGGUUAGUGAUCACCUUCAGCCUUUCAGAAACUUCAAACCUUGGGAGCUGAGCAAGAAACUAGCAGCCAAGAGUCAAAGAACCAAAGAUUUUAUCUCACCUGUGAUGAUGAAUCAGUUUGCCUCCUAGAAGGACAGGAAUAGUUUGAUUGGCUGGCAGUGUUGACUAAGAGGCCAGCCUUCUAGCAGGAAAGCUGAGAAGGAAACGUGACAAGAGACCUAAGAGAGGGAAGAAAAGUGAGAGAAGGAAGAGAAUGGAGUUGGCAGUCUCAGUAGUGAUUAGAGGCAGUAAUGGAGGUAGGGAGCAUCAGAUCCUCCGACGCCUUGGACUAGUGACAGAGGUGAAGGCAAAGCAGAGGACAGAUGACAGCAAGCUGAAAAAUGGUGAGGAAACUGAACCCUGCAGGCUGCACCUCCCAGGCUUGCUUGCCUCCUGACUGCCUUUUCUGUCCAAUGGAUAACACCUGCAGGCGAUUGGAAGGAGGUUGAGAGAAUCGCUGGGAUAAUUCUUUCUCAUUCCCUCCAUUCUUCAGGCUGCAUCUCCAGCUUUAGCUAUGUCCCUCCACACUAUAGCACCCUCACGCCCCACCCCCUCGCCACGAUUCCAAUUCUCAGUGCGUUCAAGUAACUGUUUCUCCCUUUGUCCUUUCAGCCUAAGGGAUGGUAAAGGCUUCCUACUGUUGUUAGUCUCUGGGUGCCUCACUAACCCUUGUUUGUUCCCUCAUCCUUGCUCAUGCCUCUGUAAAUAAUCUAUUCGUUUGAACAACCUGGGGUGAAAUCAAUUUCCUGCCAUGACCUGACUGAUAUAAUCCUCAAAACAAGCUGAAGUAUUAUUCCCCCUAUUUUCCCAAGCACUUUUCCAACAUCACACACCAAACAAACCCAUAUCUGUGUAUUUCAAAGCCUGCAUGUUUAAUCACCACAUCACACUCCCUGGUUUCUCUGUAUAACCAGAAUGAGCCCUUCGGAAUUGAGAAGACCUGAGGCAAGUGACCCCUUCAGAAACAGAGGCAAAAAUCCUCAGAAGAAGCAGUAAAGAUUGAUGUAGCCCAGCAUUUAGUCUAGCACGUAGGGAAUGGAGCCACCCACAGAGGGAUGGGGUGUACCAAGUAAGUCCAUGAACAGAACAGGUUAGAACCAGAGGUGUCUCUCACUUAGCAGUGCAUUCCAGUUUCCAGGCAUGCAGUUUCUCAGUUCCCCAGUUCAUUGGUUGAAAUAUUUAUUGAAAAUGUAUUAUAGUGUAGGCACUGAGGAUAGGUGUUGGGGUAAAAGUACAGUCUGCCUUCCAGCAGCACACAGUUUGGGAAGAUGCAUG